rnacentral:rRNA from 1 species
AGAGUUUGAUCAUGGCUCAGGAUGAACGCUAGCUACAGGCUUAACACAUGCAAGUCGAGGGGAAACGACAUCGAAAGCUUGCUUUUGAUGGGCGUCGACCGGCGCACGGGUGAGUAACGCGUAUCCAACCUGCCCACCACUUGGGGAUAACCUUGCGAAAGUAAGACUAAUACCCAAUGACGUCUCUAGAAGACAUCUGAAGGAGAUUAAAGAUUUAUCGGUGAUGGAUGGGGAUGCGUCUGAUUAGCUUGUUGGCGGGGUAACGGCCACCAAGGCGACGAUCAGUAGGGGUUCUGAGAGGAAGGUCCCCCACAUUGGGAACUGGGACACGGUCCGUAACCUACCUACCGGAGGGCGAC